UAGGGCCAACUUGCAUGGUAAUUAAGAUUGCCCACAUGCAGCAGGAAAGCCAUGUGGAAAGCUGCCAGGAUGUCCACACUCUGUUGCAACGGCUGUUUCUCUGUCUUAUAAAUUGUGGGAGCUUCGGGUCACCUCCUUGUCUUACCACCUCCUGAGACAUCCAAUCCUAUCUUUCAGCCAUGAAGCUCUUGGCCAUCCUCUCAGUUGUUCUCUUCUUUGUCCUGAUGGCUGCUUCAGCAGUUGAUGCAGGGCCAUCAUCAAGCUCUGGAUGUCACGCUGCUGGAGGCUACUGUUACUCUACAGAUUGUCCACGAGGAAGAAGACGAAUUGGGACAUGUGGCUCACUUAGACGUCCUUGCUGCAAAUGACAAGUUGCUGCUUAUUCACGGUAGCUUUCUCAGAGGCACCGAGGGCGGUCUUUCUGCUGUACCGCCAUGCUCACCCCCAGAAUCAAUGCUCAUUUCAGCUCUCGACAGAUUCUCUCUGAAUUCGAUUCUUUUUCUGUCCUUAUCAAUUAAAGUCUCAUCUGAGGACCUGCA